CACAGUCAGAGGAAAGAGAGCAGGGCAGCAGUGUUGAGUGGAGUGACUAACUCUGGAUUAGCAGUGAUCCUGGGCUCUCAGCCCAGCUCGGCCAUUACAGGCAGUAUCUUCACCUGUCAGGCUCUGGUUUACUCACUGGAUGCAAAAUGAAGGUGUGGGGCUGCUUCCGAGGUUUUCAGUCUGAAUCACCGGGACAGCUAAUGAGAUGAAGAUGGACAAGUUGAAGAAACGUCACAGGAGCCCAAGAGGCUGGCCAGAGAGCCCAGGACUCAGUUCCUCUGUGGGAAGGCACACACACUCUUUGGUCAAGAAACUUGGUCAGGAGGUCAGAAACAUGGGCCCUGCCCGAGCAGCAAGUCACCAUGACCCAGGCCAACCUGAGGACAAAGGCCUCAACUAUUCCUUGAACCAUGCUGAUAAUCAGGACAUUCCGAAGAAACAAGUGAUGUGGAUUUCAGUGACGUAAGUAAGGGGCCCCUGAGGGUCACAACAAGGCCUGCCUCUUUGCAGCUGCAGCUGCUGCCCUCAAGAGCUGAGUCAAGGUGGAAGGCAGACCCCUCAACUACAGAAAUGCUGCCUGAUAUUCAUGAAAACCACCUCUGACUCCCAAUACCUGUGGCAUUCUCCCUGUCAUAUCUGAAAUGUCUCCCUCCAGGGAACAAUUAUCCAACUAUCUUACAAUUUUCAGUCAGAAAUUCUACAAGCAAGGAAACCACAUGACCCAAAAAUUAUACUCCUGGAUAUUUAUCCAAGAGAAGUGAAAACAUAUGUCCAUAUGAAGUCGUACACAAAUGUUCCUAGCAGCUUUAUUCAUAAUAGAUUGUGAAUCUGCCUUAAAGACUGAGGCCAAGUUUACUUCAAAACCAGAAUUUAGUUUCUCCUCAAACUGUCUGCAGAGUUCCAUCUUGGCAUCACGAGGGACUCUUUUGAUUAGAGAGGACAAACACAUCCAAGACAGCUUUGGACCAGCUGUCACGCUCACAGAUGUCUGGGAACCCCAGAGCAUUGCCUCGCCCUGAGUUGCUACAGACACGGGCACGCUGUCCAGGAGUAGCAAGAACCUCACCAGAAGGCCCAACUUAUCCUGGGUUCUCUCCUUUAAACAUUUUCUGGCCUUACCAUCAAAAUCCAAGCAUUCACGGUCUGAAUCGCCAGAGCCAGGUUGCAGAGUGCAAUGAGUCCCAUUCAGCAGCACCCCAUGCGUUACCACAAUGCUUCGAGAUGGGUCACGCUCUGCCCAUUUUGCAGAUGGGGAAAUCAGUCCCUACAGAGGUGAAGUGACUUUCCCAAAGCCUCAUGGCUGGUGGAUCUUGGGCUGACAUUGAACCCACGUGGUCUGGCUCCUACAGUAACUGAGGGCGUGCACUUACACGUGGAAUGAACUGCUGAGAAUGAUCUAGGAGCUGGAGCCAAGGGGAGCAGAAGGGUCUGGUCCUGUGAGGACAUGCGCUGUAGAUAGGUCUGUCAGCUGGGCCAGGCUGCAUUUCCUGUCGUGCUCCAUCAAGAGCAGGCUUGCCUCACGGACACACCUAUGCCCAUCAGCUGGACUUGACACCUUCCUGGGAUCCGCCCAGACUAAGAGAUGGGAUUUUAAAAGGCUUGAGUUCUAACCUUGGCCCUUUACAAGAAUUUGCUGAGUGAUUCCUCACAACACCCUCUGCAGUAAGUGCUGUUAGCUUCCCCAUCUGCAGUAAGUGUCAUUAGCCUCCGCAUUUAACAAGGGGAGGAAACAGGUAGAAAGGAGCGAAGUGUUCCCCCAUCUUCUGCCACCCAGCUAGUAGCAAAGUCAGAUCUAACACCCGGGUCUUUUUCUGACCCCAGAUCUGGGCUCUAAUCUCUGAUUUCUCUGAGGCUAGAGACAUAAGCCAUGAGGAAAACGUUGGUGCAACAAAUGAAGGUCUUAGCUCCCUUGCAGUGGAAUAGCCGUUCCUGGGUUCAGCGGCAAAGCAGUGAGGGUAGCUGAGGCUGCUGGAGGCAACCGCUCAGGCCAGGCCACAGAUAAAAGUGAGAGCGCACCCAGUUAAACUAAGGCCUUAAUUACAGGCUUCGUUUAGAGCCUAGCAGCAAAAGCUUGCUGCAGCCCCACAGGUGCUGGACGCUGAGGAGUUCCCACCAGCCUGGCUCAGCCCUCUGCACCCAGGCAGCCCACCCCACCCCCACCUUCCGAAGGUAGAACCACGAGGACUUCCGAAUCAGAUGCACUUUGGAAUGUGAGAUGCUCGGGCCUACCUCCAGAAGACUUCCUUCAGCCUGAUGUCUUCCUCAAGACCAGCCAACCCCGAACCAUGAGCUGAUGGGGCCACGUGCAUUUCACAGGUUACUGACUGGGUGGGCUGAAUGAUGGCCCCCAAAGACAGCCAGGUCCUAACCCCUGGAACCUGUGAAUAUUACCCUACAUGGCAAAACGGACUUUGCUGGUGUGACUGAAAGCCCUUGAGUGGGGAGAUUAUCCCGGAUUAUUCAGAUGGAUCUUAAAUGUAAUCACAAGGGUCCUUCUAAAAGAGAGGCAGAGGAAGAUUUUACUACAGAAGACAAACAAAGCCAUAUGACAAAGGAAGCAGACAGAGAGAGAGAUUUGGAAAUGCUAUGCUGCUGGCUUUGAAGAUGGGUAAGAGGCCAAGAGCCAAAGAAUGCAAACACUGCAGCUCUGGAUGCUAGAAAGGGCAAGGAAAUGUAGAGCCCCUGCAGGCUCUGCUUACCCCUUAAUUUUGGCCCAGUGAAACUGAUUUCAGAUUUCUGAUCUGCAGAACUGAAAGAGAAUAAAUGUGUGUUGCUUUCAGCCACCAAGUUUGUGGCAAUUUGUUACAGCAGCCACAGGACGCUAAUACAUGACCCUUUACUCUCUGACUCUUGUACUCAGCACUUGGGAUCAAACAGUGAACCCGAUAAACCUCUACACCUCCCAGGGAAAUUGACCAUCUCUCUGUCUCUGGAUUUUAAAAAGGAACAGCCACGUAGACAUUUUAUCAAAGAUAUAUGAAUGGUCAAUAAACACAUGAAAAGAAAAUGCACAAAAUCAUUAGCAUUAGGGCAAUGAAAAUUAAAACCACAAUGAGAUACCACUUCAUACUCACUAGGAUGGCUAUAAUAAAAGACAAUAACAAAUGUCAAAAGUGUGGAAGAACUAUAAUUUUCAUAUAUUGCUGAUGAGAUUGUAACAUGGUACAACUGACUUGGAAAAUAGUUUGGUAGUUUGUUUGGUUUUUUGAGACGGAGUCUUGCUCUGUCGGCCAGGCUGGCGUGCAGUGGUGCAAUUUCGGCUCACUGCAACCUCUGCCUUUCAGGUUCAA
rnacentral:lncRNA from 10 species